GUCGUGAGAUGUUGGGUUAAGUCCCGCAACGAGCGCAACCCUUGUCCUAUGUUGCCAGCGGGUAAUGCCGGGGACUCGUAGGAGACUGCCGGGGUCGACUCGGAGGAAGGUGGGGACGACGUCAAGUCAUCAUGCCCCUUAUGUCCAGGGCUGCACACAUGCUACAAUGGCCGGUACAAAGGGCUGCUAUUCCGCGAGGAUGAGCGAAUCCCAGAAAGCCGGUCUCAGUUCGGAUUGGAGUCUGCAACUCGACUCCAUGAAGUCGGAGUCGCUAGUAAUCCCGAAUCAGCAACGUCGGGGUGAAUACGUUCCCGGGCCUUGUACACACCGCCCGUCACACCACGAAAGUUGGUAACACCCGAAGCCAGUGGCCCAACCGCAAGGAGGGAGCUGUCGAAGGUGGGAUCAGCGAUUGGGGUGAAGUCGUAACAAGGUAGCCGUACCGGAAGGUGCGGCUGGAUCACCUCCUUUCUAAGGAGUCCUACUCCCUCUUCUUUCACGACGAGGGAACUCCUAAGUUGAUCACUGGCUAUUCGGCUAGAUGCGUGGUCGCAGGUUUCGACCUCCCACCGUCCGGCCGGGCCGAUCCUCUAUUCCGUUUUGAGGGAGCGACCUGUCGCGUCUGCGCGACAGCACUCGCUGGUUGUUCCUUGAGAAUUCCAUAGCGAGCACGAGCAUCUUUGUUCUCCAAGCUACAAAGAGCCAACGGUGGAUGCCUUGGCGCCUGAAGCCGAAGAAGGACGUGGGUGACUGCGAUAAGCCACGGGGAGCUGUCUACCAAGCGUCGAUCCGUGGAUGU
rnacentral:sRNA from 1 species